UAGUACGCGAGUGAAGCGGGAUGAGCUCAAGCUUAAAAUCUCCAUCAAGUUUUGUAUGGCGAAUUGUAGUCUAUAGAGGCGUGGUCAGCGUGGGCGCUUGGGGCAAGUUCCUUGGAAGAGGACAGCAUGGAGGGUGAUACUCCCGUUCAUCCCUGAGUGGCUCGUGCGUACGACCCGUUUUCUUUGAGUCGCGUUGUUUGAGAAUGCAGCGCAAAGCAGGUGGUAAAUUCCAUCUAAAGCUAAAUAUUGGUGCGAGACCGAUAGUAAACAAGUACCGUGAGGGAAAGAUGAAAAGAACUUUGAAAAGAGAGUUAAAGAGUACCUGAAACUGCUGAAAGGGAACCGAAUCGUUUCCAGUGUCUAUAAUCCGUGGCAUAUUCCAUUGGCGAGUGUAUGCGUGCGUGUGCUAUGGCAGCGGCCUUUUGGCUGCGCUUGGCGCGUGUGCUGUGUGUGCUUGCUGGUGCCCUGUGCUGCGGUGGGACGUCAAUGUCAGUUCGUAUGCUGCGGGAAAUGGCUACCGAGGAGGUAGGGCUUACGUUCGCGUUUGUCUAUUAUAUCUUGGUGGACGAGUCGUCGUGGUUGGGACUGAGGUGCCUACAACGUGCUUUUGAGUGGGUUUGUGUCUCCGUGUUUGCCGUGUGCGGAUAGCUUGCUAUGCGUGUGUGGUUAUGUAUGGAUUGAUGUAGACUUUAGCUUGUUGCCGUUC
rnacentral:rRNA from 1 species